rnacentral:rRNA from 1 species
CCUACGGGAGGCAGCAGUGGGGAAUAUUGCACAAUGGGGGAAACCCUGAUGCAGCGACGCCGCGUGAGUGAAGAAGUAAUUCGUUAUGUAAAGCUCUAUCAGCAGGGAAGAAAAUGACGGUACCUGUGUAAGAAGCCCCGGCUAACUACGUGCCAGCAGCCGCGGUAAUACGUAGGGGGCAAGCGUUAUCGGGAUUUACGGGGUGUAAAGGGAGCGUAGACGGCAGUGCAAGUCUGGAGUGAAAGGCGGGGGCUCAACCCCCGGACUGCUCUGGAAACUGUACGGCUGGAGUGCAGGAGAGGUAAGUGGAAGUCCUAGUGUAGCGGUGAAAUGCGUAGAUAUUAGGAGGAACACCAGUGGCGAAGGCGGCUUACUGGACUGUAACUGACGUUGAGGCUCGAAAGCGUGGGGAGCAAACAGGAUUAGAUACCCCUGUAGUC